rnacentral:lncRNA from 1 species
CUUCAUCACUGCCUGCAUGGCAGUCACACCUGGAGGCAGGAGCAGGAGCUUGAACUCUCCCUGGACCUUUUUGCAGCUCAGCACAUCCAUUAAGGACCCCACCUCAAAGGGGUAAAGGCUCUUCCCACUCCACCCAGCAGUACAUGACAUUUGCUGCAAAAGAUUUCCCUGCUGCUACUGCAGCCCUGCUUGGGCUGGGAGUGCAUGCUUGGCAUGUUUGUGCUGCAAAUCUGGUACCCAGCACUGCUUCAUGAGCUUGUAUUUGCAGAAGUUUCAUGCUUUCAUUUUCUGCAGGUCCCAAAAGAUCCACAAGAAGAUGUUUCUAUUCUUGCACCUCUGCUUUGAACAAGAGGUGGAUGUUUCAGAAGCUGUUCAAUUUAUUCACUGGCUGCACUCUUAAAUCCAAACUAAUCCGUACAUUACAAACCCUGAACUCCAGCACUUCUGAGAGCUGAGAACUGCUGUUUCCAUUUGUGCUAAACUUCUGGAAAUGGACAACAGAACUUAACAUUCACUUUUUGAGAAUGGUCAUGGAGGAUCCACCUUUCCCCAUCCCAUGGCAUGGUCACCACCCUGCCCGAUGGGAGUUUCUGUCAUCAUUCCUGGCAUCCUAUUCCCCAACCUUUUGUGGGGCUACCUUUUUGUGUUCAGCUAAUGACACCAUUCUAAAAUACAAAGAACCCCUCUGAUCUCUGUUUUUCAGAGACAGCACCCUUGGUUCUGGUGUCCUGAUUAGAGAUGUGCCCUUUGCAGUGAUUUGGAGCUGUGAAAUGGCUCCUGUCGCUCCACUCUGAGCCUGUGGGUAUCUCACAGGAUAAAUCUGGAAGAGCUGUAGAGCGCAGAUGAUUUUUGGCAAGUAUCAUUUUAUCAUCAAAAUUUUAUUUUUGGGUCGCUCUUCAGCUGCCGCCUUCUGUGAAGGAGAACGACGCCCAUUUGAUGGCUUUUAUUCUGGAUUCCCGAGCAGUCUCCUCUGCUUAGAGCACAACUAAUGGCAGCUCUGGCUGAGAUAAUGGGAGGUGGGGAUGGAUGCAUGGAGCUGGAACUGAGGUGGACUGUCACCUUUGUCUGAACGUGGAGACACAGCUCAUGUCCUCAGAGCUGGGAGAGUCACAGCAAGCCAGGCAGAAAAUAUAUUUUAUUUUAAAUAAAUUUGAAAUAAAUUGUAAUUAUUAUUUUUAA